rnacentral:rRNA from 1 species
UACGGAGGGUGCAAGCGUUGUCCGGAAUUAUUGGGUUUAAAGGGUACGUAGGCUGCAGAUUAAGUCAUGGGUUAAAUAUAGCAGCUUAACUGUUUAUAUGCUCAUGAUACUGAUUUGCUUGAGAGGUGUAAAGGUAGGCGGAAUUCCUCAUGUAGCGGUGAAAUGCACAGAUAUGAGGAGGAACUCCAACGGCGAAGGCAGCUUACUAGUCACCAACUGACGCUGAUGUACGAAAGUGUGGAUAGCGAACAGG